rnacentral:rRNA from 1 species
GACGAACGCUGGCGGCGUGCUUAACACAUGCAAGUCGAGCGGUAAGGCCCUUUCGGGGGGUACACGAGCGGCGAACGGGUGAGUAACACGUGGGUGACCUGCCCUCAGCUCUGGGAUAAGCCUGGGAAACUGGGUCUAAUACUGGAUAUGACUCCACGGUGCAUGUCGUGGGGUGGAAAGCCUUGUGCGGCUGAGGAUGGGCCCGCGGCCUAUCAGCUUGUUGGUGGGGGAUGGCCUACCAAGGCGACGACGGGUAGCCGGCCUGAGAGGGCGACCGGCCACACUGGGACUGAGACACGGCCCAGACUCCUACGGGAGGCAGCAGUGGGGAAUCUUGCGCAAUGGGCGAAAGCCUGACGCAGCGACGCCGCGUGAGGGAUGACGGCCU